UGUGUAGCUGUUUGAGGACUACA
rnacentral:piRNA from 1 species